rnacentral:rRNA from 1 species
GUGGGGAAUAUUGGGCAAUGGGGGAAACCCUGACCCAGCAACGCCGCGUGAAGGAAGAAGGUUUUCGGAUCGUAAACUUCUAUCCUUGGUGAAGAUAAUGACGGUAGCCAAGAAGGAAGCCCCGGCUAACUACGUGCCAGCAGCCGCGGUAAUACGUAGGGGGCAAGCGUUGUCCGGAAUGAUUGGGCGUAAAGGGCGCGUAGGCGGCCUGGUAAGUCUGGAGGGAAAGUCCUGCUUUUAAGGUGGGAAUUGCUUUGGAUACUGUCGGGCUUGAGUGCAGGAGAGGUAAGCGGAAUUCCCGGUGUAGCGGUGAAAUGCGUAGAGAUCGGGAGGAACACCAGUGGCGAAGGCGGCUUACUGGACUGUAACUGACGCUGAGGCGCGAAAGUGUGGGGAGCAAACAGGAUUAGAAACCCGAGUAGUCC